rnacentral:misc_RNA from 1 species
GUAACAAGGUCUCCGUUGGUGAACCAGCGGAGGGAUCAUUACUGAGUACUACACUCUCUACCCUUUGUGAACUAUUAUACCUGUUGCUUCGGCGGCGCCCGCAAGGGUGCCCGCCGGUCUCAUCAGAAUCUCUGUUUUCGAACCCGACGAUACUUCUGAGUGUUCUUAGCGAACUGUCAAAACUUUUAACAACGGAUCUCUUGGCUCCAGCAUCGAUGAAGAACGCAGCGAAACGCGAUAUGUAAUGUGAAUUGCAGAAUUCAGUGAAUCAUCGAAUCUUUGAACGCACAUGGCGCCUUCCAGUAUCCUGGGAGGCAUGCCUGUCCGAGCGUCGUUUCAACCCUCGAGCCCCUGUGGCCCGGCGUUGGGGAUCUGCCACGGCAGGCCCCUAAAACCAGUGGCGGACCCGAAGGGCCCUCUCCUUUGCGCAGUAGCAUUCGCCUCGCAUCGGGAGUCCUCGGCGUCCUGCCUCUAAACCCCCCACAAGCCCGCUUCGGCGGCACCAAGGUUGACCUCGGAUCAGGUAGGAAUACCCGCUGAACUUAAGC